CCCGAAUGGGGAAACCCAGUGUGAUUCGUCACACUAUCAUUAACUGAAUCCAUAGGUUAAUGAGGCGAACCGGGGGAACUGAAACAUCUAAGUACCCCGAGGAAAAGAAAUCAACCGAGAUUCCCCCAGUAGCGGCGAGCGAACGGGGAGGAGCCCAGAGCCUGAAUCAGCAUGUGUGUUAGUGGAAGCGUCUGGAAAGGCGCGCGAUACAGGGUGACAGCCCCGUACACAAAAGCGCAUGUGCUGUGAGCUCGAUGAGUAGGGCGGGACACGUGGUAUCCUGUCUGAAUAUGGGGGGACCAUCCUCCAAGGCUAAAUACUCCUGACUGACCGAUAGUGAACCAGUACCGUGAGGGAAAGGCGAAAAGAACCCCGGCGAGGGGAGUGAAAAAGAACCUGAAACCGUGUACGUACAAGCAGUGGGAGNNNNNNNNNNNNNNNNNNNNNNNNNNNNNNNNNNNGGGCGUUAAGUUGCAGGGUAUAGACCCGAAACCCGGUGAUCUAGCCAUGGGCAGGUUGAAGGUUGGGUAACACUAACUGGAGGACCGAACCGACUAAUGUUGAAAAAUUAGCGGAUGACCUGUGGCUGGGGGUGAAAGGCCAAUCAAACCGGGAGAUAGCUGGUUCUCCCCGAAAGCUAUUUAGGUAGCGCCUCGUGAAUUCAUCUCCGGGGGUAGAGCACUGUUUCGGCUAGGGGGCCAUCCCGGCUUACCAACCCGAUGCAAACUGCGAAUACCGGAGAAUGUUAUCACGGGAGACACACGGCGGGUGCUAACGUCCGUCGUGAAGAGGGAAACAACCCAGACCGCCAGCUAAGGUCCCAAAGUCAUGGUUAAGUGGGAAACGAUGUGGGAAGGCCCAGACAGCCAGGAUGUUGGCUUAGAAGCAGCCAUCAUUUAAAGAAAGCGUAAUAGCUCACUGGUCGAGUCGGCCUGCGCGGAAGAUGUAACGGGGCUAAACCAUGCACCGAAGCUGCGGCAGCGANNNNNNNNNNNNNNNNNNNUGCUGGAGGUAUCAGAAGUGCGAAUGCUGACAUAAGUAACGAUAAAGCGGGUGAAAAGCCCGCUCGCCGGAAGACCAAGGGUUCCUGUCCAACGUUAAUCGGGGCAGGGUGAGUCGACCCCUAAGGCGAGGCCGAAAGGCGUAGUCGAUGGGAAACGGGUUAAUAUUCCCGUACUUGGUGUUACUGCGAAGGGGGGACGGAGAAGGCUAUGUUGGCCGGGCGACGGUUGUCCCGGUUUAAGCGUGUAGGUGUGUGUUCCAGGUAAAUCCGGUUCACUUUAACACUGAGGCGUGACGACGAGGCACUACGGUGCUGAAGCAACAAAUGCCCUGCUUCCAGGAAAAGCCUCUAAGCAUCAGGUAACACGAAAUCGUACCCCAAACCGACACAGGUGGUCAGGUAGAGAAUACCAAGGCGCUUGAGAGAACUCGGGUGAAGGAACUAGGCAAAAUGGUGCCGUAACUUCGGGAGAAGGCACGCUGACACGUAGGUGAAGUGAUUUACUCAUGGAGCUGAAGUCAGUCGAAGAUACCAGCUGGCUGCAACUGUUUAUUAAAAACACAGCACUGUGCAAACACGAAAGUGGACGUAUACGGUGUGACGCCUGCCCGGUGCCGGAAGGUUAAUUGAUGGGGUCAGCGCAAGCGAAGCUCCUGAUCGAAGCCCCGGUAAACGGCGGCCGUAACUAUAACGGUCCUAAGGUAGCGAAAUUCCUUGUCGGGUAAGUUCCGACCUGCACGAAUGGCGUAAUGAUGGCCAGGCUGUCUCCACCCGAGACUCAGUGAAAUUGAACUCGCUGUGAAGAUGCAGUGUACCCGCGGCAAGACGGAAAGACCCCGUGAACCUUUACUAUAGCUUGACACUGAACAUUGAGCCUUGAUGUGUAGGAUAGGUGGGAGGCUUUGAAGUGUGGACGCCAGUCUGCAUGGAGCCGACCUUGAAAUACCACCCUUUAAUGUUUGAUGUUCUAACGUGGACCCGUAAUCCGGGUUGCGGACAGUGUCUGGUGGGUAGUUUGACUGGGGCGGUCUCCUCCUAAAGAGUAACGGAGGAGCACGAAGGUUGGCUAAUCCUGGUCGGACAUCAGGAGGUUAGUGCAAUGGCAUAAGCCAGCUUGACUGCGAGCGUGACGGCGCGAGCAGGUGCGAAAGCAGGUCAUAGUGAUCCGGUGGUUCUGAAUGGAAGGGCCAUCGCUCAACGGAUAAAAGGUACUCCGGGGAUAACAGGCUGAUACCGCCCAAGAGUUCAUAUCGACGGCGGUGUUUGGCACCUCGAUGUCGGCUCAUCACAUCCUGGGGCUGAAGUAGGUCCCAAGGGUAUGGCUGUUCGCCAUUUAAAGUGGUACGCGAGCUGGGUUUAGAACGUCGUGAGACAGUUCGGUCCCUAUCUGCCGUGGGCGCUGGAGAACUGAGGGGGGCUGCUCCUAGUACGAGAGGACCGGAGUGGACGCAUCACUGGUGUUCGGGUUGUCAUGCCAAUGGCACUGCCCGGUAGCUAAAUGCGGAAGAGAUAAGUGCUGAAAGCAUCUAAGCACGAAACUUGCCCCGAGAUGAGUUCUCCCUGAGACUUAGAGUCUCCUGAAGGAACGUUGAAGACGACGACGUUGAUAGGCCGGGUGUGUAAGCGCAGCGAUGCGUUGAGCUAACCGGUACUAAUGAACCGU
rnacentral:rRNA from 1 species